AGGCCUGUCUCAGAUAAUAAGUGAAACUCAGUCAGGCUUCCUAGGUGGAAGAUCCAUUCAUAACAACAUACGAUUGGUUCUAGAUUUGAUUGAUUACAGCAAUAUAUUUGUAGAGAAGGGCUUCAUUGUAUUUCUAGACUUAUACAAAGCCUUUGAUUCAGUAGAACAUCAGUUUAUUUUAGAAACUUUAACGCAUUUUGGUUUUGGACAGAAAUUCAAAAAUCUACCGGUAAUUGGUAUACUUUAAUGAUAUUAAUAGUUGUGUAUCUUUAGAACAUGUCACUUGCACAAGAUUUAAAGUUAAGAGGGGUAUUAGGCAAGGUUGCAACAGCUCUCCUUUUCUAUUUAUAAUGGUUGCUGAAUUGUUGUCCAUCAUGAUAAAGAACAGUGGAUCUGAAGGCUUUAACAUAUUGGGGAAACACAUUAUAAUAACUCAGUUUGCAGAUGAUACAACUUUGUUUUUAAAAAAUGAAAACCAUAUUGUCACAGCACUAGAUUCAAUUAAUCAAUUUUCAAAAGCAUCAGGUGUUACGUUAAAUAUUAAUAAAUGUGAAAUUCUUUCUUUGCAUGAACAACCAGCUCACUCAAUCAAUAAUAUAAGUGUUAAAACAGUUGUUAAAUAUUUGGGCAUUACAGUCACCCAAAAUAAAGAAAUAAGGGAAAAAGAAAAUAUUCUUAGAAAUAUUGAUAAAUGUAAAAAAAUGUUAAACUUAUGGCUACAAAGGGAUAUAACAAUAUUUGGCAGGGUUUUACUGUCCAAAAUGGAAAGUAUAUCCAGAGCUAUUUACCCGGCCUAUUCAUUAGGAAUUUCAGAGAAUAUGAUUAAUUUAAUGAACAAAACGAACUUCAACUUUAUUUGGAAGGAAAAAUGCCAUUACAUUAGGAAAGCUGACAUGAUUAAGAGUAUUGAGGAAGGUGGCAUGAAUGUUAUAGAUUUUUCUGUAAUGAAUGGUGUACUGAAGUUAAAGUGGUUGAAUUCAUUUGUUAAUCAUAAGGACUCCUUCUGGUUUAGCAUCCCUAAUGCAAUUUUUGGUAAACUGGGUGGAAUUGAUUUUUUAUUGUGCUGUGAUUAUGAUGUACAAAAAUUGCCUGUGAAACUAUCAGAUUUCCACCAGCAAGUUCUUCGAUACUGGAACCUAAUAUUUAAACACAAUUUUACUCCACAUAAUACACCUCUGUGGAACAAUAGAUGUAUUCUUAGUAAUCGAAAAUCUUUGUUUCUAAGGACUUGGAUGGAAAAAGGAAUAUGGGCAUUUUCGCAUUUGAUGGAUAAUUUUGGUAAUUUUUUAUACUAUAGUGAUUUGUGUGAUAAAUUUAAUCUACAAUGCUCAAUUAGAGAAUAUAACAUAGUAAUGAAGGCCAUCCCAGUACCCUUGCAAACAAUGAUUCAGCAGUUUGUAUUGUACUCCAGAAAUAUACCAGAGUUGAGAUCACUUUGUAUUUUAAAAAGUAAACAGUUUACAAAUAAGUUCAUCAGAAAUGUAUUAUCCAAACAGUACUUCCCCAG
ensembl:lncRNA